rnacentral:rRNA from 1 species
CUACGAGUUGUUCCAGUGAGGAAUAUUGCACAAUGGGGGGAACCCUGAUGCAGCAACGCCGCGUGGAGGAUGACACUUUUCGGAGCGUAAACUCCUUUUAUAUAGGAAGAAGAUGACGGUACUAUAUGAAUAAGCGCCGGCUAACUCCGUGCCAGCAGCCGCGGUAAUACGGAGGGCGCAAGCGUUACUCGGAAUCACUGGGCGUAAAGAGCGUGUAGGCGGAUUAAAAAGUCAGAAGUGAAAUCCUAUAGCUUAACUAUAGAACUGCUUCUGAAACUCUUAAUCUAGAAUAUGGGAGAGGUAGAUGGAAUUUCUGGUGUAGGGGUAAAAUCCGUAGAGAUCAGAAGGAAUACCGAUUGCGAAGGCGAUCUACUAGAACAUUAUUGACGCUGAGACGCGAAAGCGUGGGGAGCAAACAGGAUUAGAUACCCCCGUAGUC